rnacentral:rRNA from 1 species
GAUGAACGCUGGCGGCGUGCUUAACACAUGCAAGUCGAACGGGAAACCUUUUAUUGAAGCUUCGGCAGAUUUAGCUGGUUUCUAGUGGCGGACGGGUGAGUAACGCGUGGGUAACCUGCCUUAUACAGGGGGAUAACAGUCAGAAAUGGCUGCUAAUACCGCAUAAGCGCACAGAGCUGCAUGGCUCAGUGUGAAAAACUCCGGUGGUAUAAGAUGGACCCGCGUUGGAUUAGCUGGUUGGUGGGGUAACGGCCCACCAAGGCGACGAUCCAUAGCCGGCCCGGGAGGGGGGACCGGCACCAUUGGGAUGGGACCCAGGCCCGAACUCCACGGGGGGGGAGCAGGGGGGAAUAUGGAAAAAGGGGGGAAACCCGAAGGCAGCGGGGCCGGGGAAAGGAAGAAGUAUCUGGGAAUGAAAAUUUCUAUAAGAAGGGAAAAUAAGAAGGGUACCGGAAUAAAAAGCCCCGCCAAACUCCGG